rnacentral:rRNA from 1 species
UACGAAGGGGGCUAGCGUUGUUCAGAUUUACUGGGCGUAAAGCGCACGUAGGCGGAUUGUUAAGUCGGGGGUGAAAUCCUGGAGCUCAACUCCAGAAUUGCCUUCGAUACUGGCUUUCUAGAGGCUGGAAGAGGUUAGUGGAAUUCCCAGUGUAGAGGUGAAAUUCGUAGAUAUUGGGAAGAACACCAGUGGCGAAGGCGGCUAACUGGUCCAGAUCUGACGCUGAGGUGCGAAAGCGUGGGGAGCAAACAGG